ACGAACGCUGGCGGCGUGCUUAACACAUGCAAGUCGAACGGUGAAGCGAGUGCUUGCACUCGUGGAUCAGUGGCGAACGGGUGAGUAACACGUGAGUAACCUGCCCAUCACUCUGGGAUAAGCACUGGAAACGGUGUCUAAUACUGGAUACGACCAACCCUUGCAUGGGGUGUUGGUGGAAAGAUUUAUCGGUGAUGGAUGGACUCGCGGCCUAUCAGCUUGUUGGCGGGGUAAUGGCCCACCAAGGCGACGACGGGUAGCCGGCCUGAGAGGGUGACCGGCCACACUGGGACUGAGACACGGCCCAGACUCCUACGGGAGGCAGCAGUGGGGAAUAUUGCACAAUGGGCGAAAGCCUGAUGCAGCGACGCCGCGUGAGGGAUGACGGCCUUCGGGUUGUAAACCCCUUUCAGCAGGGAAGAAGCGAAAGUGACGGUACCUGCAGAAGAAGCACCGGCUAACUACGUG
rnacentral:rRNA from 1 species